GUGGGGAAUAUUGGACAAUGGGCGCAAGCCUGAUCCAGCAAUGCCGCGUGGGUGAAGAAGGUCUUCGGAUCGUAAAGCCCUUUCGACAGGGACGAUGAUGACGGUACCUGUAGAAGAAGCCCCGGCUAACUUCGUGCCAGCAGCCGCGGUAAUACGAAGGGGGCUAGCGUUACUCGGAAUUACUGGGCGUAAAGGGCGCGUAGGCGGCUCUGUUAGUCAGGCGUGAAAUUCCUGGGCUUAACCUGGGGACUGCGCUUGAUACUGCAGGUCUUGAGGCCGAGAGAGGGUGGUGGAAUUCCCAGUGUAGAGGUGAAAUUCGUAGAUAUUGGGAAGAACACCGGUGGCGAAGGCGACCACCUGGCUCGGUUCUGACGCUGAGGCGCGACAGCGUGGGGAGCAAACAGGAUUACAUACCCCUGUAGUCC
rnacentral:rRNA from 1 species